rnacentral:rRNA from 1 species
CCUACGGGCGGCUGCAGUGGGGAAUAUUGCACAAUGGGCGCAAGCCUGAUGCAGCCAUGCCGCGUGUGUGAAGAAGGCCUUCGGGUUGUAAAGCACUUUCAGCGGGGAGGAAGGCGGUGAGGUUAAUAACCUCAUCGAUUGACGUUACCCGCAGAAGAAGCACCGGCUAACUCCGUGCCAGCAGCCGCGGUAAUACGGAGGGUGCAAGCGUUAAUCGGAAUUACUGGGUGUAAAGCGCACGCAGGCGGUCUGUCAAGUCGGAUGUGAAAUCCCCGGGCUCAACCUGGGAACUGCAUUCGAAACUGGCAGGCUAGAGUCUUGUAGAGGGGGGUAGAAUUCCAGGUGUAGCGGUGAAAUGCGUAGAGAUCUGGAGGAAUACCGGUGGCGAAGGCGGCCCCCUGGACAAAGACUGACGCUCAGGUGCGAAAGCGUGGGGAGCAAACAGGAUUAGAUACCCGAGUAGUC